ACGGCGUGGGGGGUACUUGCACGGCUGACCUCCCUGCGGAGGGCUCCUUGGGACUCACCCAGCACCCCCAGGCCCAGAGCCUAGCACAGCGCGUCUGACCCGCGCUAGACUUGCACGGAUACCGAUACACCCAAGGGAUGCUGGUGAUGUAGUUCUGGGGAGGCGGGGGGACAUGGCUCCACUGGCCCCGCCUCGGUGCGCCCAUCUGUUGGGUGGACAUAGAUGUACCUGCCUCACAGGAUGCUGGCUCCAGCUCAGAUCUCUGGCCCUGAGUCAACAACAUUCAACCAAACAGGGCCACCAUCCUGCAUGUGCUGAGAAGAUCAUAAGGUGAACGGACAGUCAGAAGCUCACACAGGGACUGGCCUCCUUUGGGGAAGGCACCCGGGUGCAUGUGGAUCCCAGUGCACACUCGGCAUUGACCAGAGGUCUGCCGAAAUGAAUCACAGUGACUUAACUGGAGUGAAAACUUGAGUAUGCUUUUGACUAGUCCACGAACACUGCUUUCUCUUUUCAUGGGUCCCCAUCUCUAGAUGGAAGAGCACACAGAAUCUCUGUGGCUGGGCAACCCCCGUGGCUCAGCGGUUUAGCGCCACCUUCAGCCCAGGGUGUGAUCCUGGAGUUCUGGGAUGAGUCCCGUGUCGGGCUCCCUGCAUGGGAGCCUGCUUCUCCC